CCCGUGAACCUUUACUAUAGCUUGACACUGAACAUUGAGCCUUGAUGUGUAGGAUAGGUGGGAGGCUUUGAAGUGUGGACGCCAGUCUGCAUGGAGCCGACCUUGAAAUACCACCCUUUAAUGUUUGAUGUUCUAACGUGGACCCGUGAUCCGGGUUGCGGACAGUGUCUGGUGGGUAGUUUGACUGGGGCGGUCUCCUCCUAAAGAGUAACGGAGGAGCACGAAGGUUGGCUAAUCCUGGUCGGACAUCAGGAGGUUAGUGCAAUGGCAUAAGCCAGCUUGACUGCGAGCGUGACGGCGCGAGCAGGUGCGAAAGCAGGUCAUAGUGAUCCGGUGGUUCUGAAUGGAAGGGCCAUCGCUCAACGGAUAAAAGGUACUCCGGGGAUAACAGGCUGAUACCGCCCAAGAGUUCAUAUCGACGGCGGUGUUUGGCACCUCGAUGUCGGCUCAUCACAUCCUGGGGCUGAAGUAGGUCCCAAGGGUAUGGCUGUUCGCCAUUUAAAGUGGUACGCGAGCUGGGUUUAGAACGUCGUGAGACAGUUCGGUCCCUAUCUGCCGUGGGCGCUGGAGAACUGAGGGGGGCUGCUCCUAGUACGAGAGGACCGGAGUGGACGCAUCACUGGUGUUCGGGUUGUCAUGCCAAUGGCACUGCCCGGUAGCUAAAUGCGGAAGAGAUAAGUGCUG
rnacentral:rRNA from 1 species